CAACAAUUCAUUAAUUUUUUUCUCAAUUUUGUUGAUCUUAUUCACUGGUUUUCAGAUCUGACGAGAUUGAGACAAUGCAUUAAAGAAUAACAAAUAGAAGAAGAAGACAGGUUGGAAUAGAGAAAUCAACAUAGGUACUAAAUAAAGCUUGGAUGAAUAGAGAAGCCAAAAGAGCAGAGAAUUUGUGGCGAUGAAAGAAAGACAACAAAGACUUCCGCUAGAAGGCAGUGAAGAAUAUUGUUUGCACCUCAUCCGCGAGUGAAGAAUGUUGUUUGCACGACUCAAAACUAGGUGUGGGCUUGAGAUAGUAGAUUUGAAGAAGAUUUGGGCCUGAUAAGUGAAAGAUCCCUAACCCAUAUUCAAACCCGACUCAUCAACGUUUGAUGCAACUGCUCAACACCCUAGCACACACCAUUCUUCCCCUAAUCGAACAAGAGCCAAACAUCCCCUUUACCUUCGUUCGCAUCUUCUCCAAGCUCUGCAAAAACUCCCAGUACACCUCCAUCAAUCACCUCCACUCCCGACCACUUCUGAGCACAACCACCUUCUCAAGAGCCAUCAAUCAAUCUCCUAGUUUCUAUCUCUCUCCAUCUUAUCUUCUCCCUUAUCAAAAACAGUAACCCUAGAAGCUAUAAUUGAGAGAGAUAAGACUAGGAUUUCUUCACAGCUAAACAAAACAUCAAAUCAAGGAGCUGAAUUGCAGAAGGGGUUUGUCAGAAAACGUGUUAUUGGUGAGUGGGUGUUCUCUAAAUUAUCAAAUUCUAAGUGAUUGAGUGAAAAUUGUGUAUAAAUAGAGCAGAGGUUUUGAUGUAAAAUUCAUGCCCGAAUUAGCCGGUGCACCAAGUAGUAGUUUAUGUUUGUUUUCAGUAUUAUCAUCAUGUUCAAAUUUCAUAACUAGGGUUUAGAUGAAACCCUGACUCUCUGUUAUUCAUACUGUUUAUGUUACUCUUGAAUGCUUAAAUUGUGUUAAG